rnacentral:rRNA from 1 species
GUGAACGCUGGCGGUAGGCCUAACACAUGCAAGUCGAACGGCAGCACAGUAAGAGCUUGCUCUUACGGGUGGCGAGUGGCGGACGGGUGAGGAAUACAUCGGAAUCUACUUUUUCGUGGGGGAUAACGUAGGGAGACUUACGCUAAUACCGCAUACGACCUACGGGUGAAAGCAGGGGAUCUUCGGACCUUGCGCGAUUGAAUGAGCCGAUGUCGGAUUAGCUAGUUGGCGGGGUAAAGGCCCACCAAGGCGACGAUCCGUAGCUGGUCUGAGAGGAUGAUCAGCCACACUGGAACUGAGACACGGUCCAGACGCCUACGGGAGGCAGCAGUGGGGAAUAUUGGACAAUGGGCGCAAGCCUGAUCCAGCCAUACCGCGUGGGUGAAGAAGGCCUUCGGGUUGUAAAGCCCUUUUGUUGGGAAAGAAAAGCAGCAGGUUAAUACCCCGCUGUUCUGACGGUACCCAAAGAAUAAGCACCGGCUAACUUCGUG